rnacentral:misc_RNA from 1 species
AAAUAACGCACAAUAUGCAAAACAGUGCUUUAAAUGUGACGAGAGAUGAUCAUAACUUAGCUUAAGGUUUGGUAUAAUAUCAUCCUCAUCUUGAGUUAUUUUUGAGAGUUCAUUUUCUAAGAAGGGAAACCACUCAGUUUCUAGAUUUUUAGAGUACAAAAGACUUGCAAUAGUUUUUAUUGCAAGAGAACUCCAACACAUUUCUUCAAAAUAUCCUCUCUAAUCUUUCCUAUAUUUGAAUUUUUUGGUUCUGGGUCCUUAAACGCUUUACGCAUGAACAAGGACCAAGACUCAAUUGGAGAUAAGCCUUCCAAAACAUGUGGUGCCAAGGUGCUAGCUAUACCUACCACUCUUUUAAAGCAAGUGGUUAUUAAUACCUUACUACCACUAGAGACACCCAUUAAUAAUUUCUUUAAUUUAUCCCAUUUUUCUUGAUUCUCAUU